CCGGUCGGCCUUGCGAAGCUUUGCUUCGGGGGUGGACUUCUGGAUCGCGUAGCAGCGUUUGCGUCGGUAUCUGGGCUUGUAGCUCAGUUGGUUAGAGCACACGCUUGAUAAGCGUGGGGUCGGAGGUUCAAGUCCUCCCAGGCCCACCAUGUUACAUGAUAAGGGGCCGUAGUUCAGCUGGGAGAGCACCUGCUUUGCAAGCAGGGGGUCGUCGGUUCGAUCCCGUCCGGCUCCACCAUCGUGUUUUGGUGUAGAGACGGAUAUUGGCAAUCAACGAAAGAAAGAAACAAGUUUGCGGACUUUUAUGAAAGUCUGCCUGUUCUGUAUGAAAUCGUGAAGAGAAGAUGUAAUCGGAUCAACUAUCCAGUUGAUGUCGCAAGAGCUUGCUCAAGCCUUGCAUUAUGAUUGAUGUGUUUAACCGCCAUCACCGAUUGUAUCUCGAGAAG
rnacentral:tRNA from 1 species